rnacentral:rRNA from 1 species
UAACGCGUAGGUAACCUGCCUGGUAGCGGGGGGUAACUAUUGGAAACGAUAGCUAAUACCGCAUGACAACAGUUAUUGCAUGAUAACUGUUUAAAGGGGGCAAUUGCUCCACUACCAGAUGGACCUGCGUUGUAUUAGCUAGUUGGUGAGGUAACGGCUCACCAAGGCGACGAUACAUAGCCGACCUGAGAGGGUGAUCGGCCACACUGGGACUGAGACACGGCCCAG